rnacentral:rRNA from 1 species
GACGAACGCUGGCGGCGUGCUUAACACAUGCAAGUCGAACGAUGAAGCUGGAGCUUGCUCCGGUGGAUUAGUGGCGAACGGGUGAGUAACACGUGAGCAAUCUGCCCUUGACUCUGGGAUAACUGCGGGAAACUGUAGCUAAUACCGGAUACGAGGCUCGAAGGCAUCUUCGGGUCUGGAAAGAAUUUCGGUCAAGGAUGAGCUCGCGGCCUAUCAGCUUGUUGGUGAGGUAAUGGCUCACCAAGGCGACGACGGGUAGCCGGCCUGAGAGGGUGACCGGCCACACUGGGACUGAGACACGGCCCAGACUCCUACGGGAGGCAGCAGUGGGGAAUAUUGCACAAUGGGCGAAAGCCUGAUGCAGCAACGCCGCGUGAGGGAUGACGGCCUUCGGGUUGUAAACCUCUUUUAGUAGGGAAGAAGCGAAAGUGACGGUACCUGCAGAAAAAGCACCGGCUAACUACGUGCCAGCCGCCGCAGUAA